rnacentral:lncRNA from 1 species
UGUCACCGGGAAUGAGUCAAGUGACAGGUCUGUUACAGACUCGGGGACCUGUAGAUGCACUUGAAGUCACAUUUAACUUAAUGGGGAAGGGAAGAGAGGGAAGGAAGACUGUGAGUGAACUUUUCCUGGAUGUCCCGGGACCAAGAGGGAGAGCUCCUCAAAUGUGACACCCGGGCUCCACAAGGGAGCUCGCCCUUCUCCGCGAACCUCCAAAGAUGCGGGACCACAAGGAGCAGGAGCUCGGGUUCCCCCCGUAAAGGACACUUCCUUUGCUUCGUACGAGUCUUCCCGAGUCAGCAGCUGUCAUGUUUGGAUCAAGAAUGUUUGAAUGGGUGGACACAGUGGACAGGAAGAGGAAGUACAGCAAUAAUGAUAUAAAACAAGGCCAAGUCGUGACACAGUCUAGAUGUAGCUUGGAGAUCACUGACAUCCCAGCCACAGCUUCAGCAAAGUAUGAGCCAACAGGAAAACUCUGGGACACUCUCCGUUGUAUCAACAUAUCAGGUUUUGAGGAAGAAAGAGAAGAAAAUAAAUAGAAAAUUGCAGUGCCUUCCAGAGAUCUGGGUGCCUUAGUCUGCAUUUUGUUCACCCCACCCAAGAUAUGACUAUUACAAAAUGUAUUUUUUAAGCAAUGGAUGCCAGUCUUCUGGGGUCCACUUAAUUUCUUCCAUACUUGUCUUCCACAAAAGGCAGAUAUUCCUGAGCUUCUUCAUCUAUGAAAAAAGGCCAUCCUGAUAUCUGGCUUACAAGAAUGAGUACUCUUUUUAAAUUAUUAAGUAGCUGCUGAUGCUAAGAUAUCUGUUCUGACAUUACAAUGAUUAAAAAUACUGUGGCUAAUAAAAAGCUGCUAAACUGACAUAGUGAAAUUAAGAUCAAGCACCAAAGUAGAGAAAACAUUGAGAUAUUAUUUCCUUAUUUCUCAC